rnacentral:rRNA from 1 species
GUCGACGAUUCCUACGGGAGGCAGCAGUGGGGAAUAUUGGACAAUGGGCGAAAGCCUGAUCCAGCCAUGCCGCGUGUGUGAAGAAGGCCUUUUGGUUGUAAAGCACUUUAAGCGAGGAGGAGGCUACUUAGAUUAAUACUCUAGGAUAGUGGACGUUACUCGCAGAAUAAGCACCGGCUAACUCUGUGCCAGCAGCCGCGGUAAUUCUCUAGAGGA